AUACGGAGGGUGCGAGCGUUAAUCGGAAUUACUGGGCGUAAAGCGCGCGUAGGCGGCUUGGUCAGUCGGAUGUGAAAGCCCCGGGCUUAACCUGGGAACUGCAUUCGAUACUGCCAGGCUAGAGUAUGGUAGAGGGAAGCGGAAUUUCCGGUGUAGCGGUGAAAUGCGUAGAUAUCGGAAGGAACACCAGUGGCGAAGGCGGCUUCCUGGACCAAUACUGACGCUGAGGUGCGAAAGCGUGGGGAGCAAACAGGAUUAGAAACCCCAGUAGUCC
rnacentral:rRNA from 1 species